AUGGGUCUGUGCCAAUUUAUUGAGUAUUGCCUUGAUGUCACAGGAGGAACAAGAGCACAAACCGUGAGCCAGCCUGAAGAUCAGGUCACCAUACAUGAACGGGACCCCCUGGAGCUGAGAUGUACUGCCUCAUAUACAGGGAGCCCUACAUUCUACUGGUAUGUUCAGUAUCCCAAACAAAGCCUCGAGAUGCUCCUGAAAUAUCUCUCAGGAAACACUCUGGUUAGAGGUAGCAAAGGUUUUGAAGCAGAAUUUAACAAGACCAAUAAAUCCUUCAACCUGAGGAAAUCAUCUGUCGAAGUGAGCGAUGUGGCUGUUUACUUCUGUGCUGUGAAUGACACAGUGACUUGA